rnacentral:tRNA from 1 species
GAGGAAGCUUGCAAGGACUGCUAAUCCAUGCCCCCGCACUUAAUAGGGCGGCUACCUCA